rnacentral:rRNA from 1 species
CAGCAGCAGCCGCGGGAAUACGGAGGGUGCAAGCGUUAAUCGGAAUUACUGGGCGUAAAGCGCACGCAGGCGGUCUGUCAAGUCAGAUGUGAAAUCCCCGGGCUUAACCUGGGAACUGCAUUUGUGACUGGCGAGCUAGAGUAUGGCAGAGGGGGGUAGAAUUCCACGUGUAGCAGUGAAAUGCGUAGAGAUGUGGAGGAAUACCGGUGGCGAAGGCGGCCCCCUGGACAAAGACUGAUGCUCAGGUGUGAAAGCGUGGGGAGCAAACAGGAUUAGAUACCCCUGUAGUCCCUGUCUCUUAUAC